AACGAACGCUGGCGGCGCGUCUUAAACAUGCAAGUCGAACGUGAACCCUAGUGCUUGCAUUGGGGGGAAAGUGGCGAACGGGUGAGUAACACGUGGAUAAUCUACCUCUGGGAUAACUUCGGGAAACCGAAGCUAAUACCGGAUAGGAUCUUCUCCUUCAUGGGAGAUGAUUGAAAGAUGGUUUCGGCUAUCACUUACAGAUGGGCCCGCGGUGCAUUAGCUAGUUGGUGAGGUAACGGCUCACCAAGGCAACGAUGCAUAGCCGACCUGAGAGGGUGAUCGGCCACACUGGGACUGAGACACGGCCCAGACUCCUACGGGAGGCAGCAGUAGGGAAUCUUCCGCAAUGGACGAAAGUCUGACGGAGCAACGCCGCGUGAGUGAUGAAGGCUUUCGGGUCGUAAAACUCUGUUGUUAGGGAAGAACAAGUACGAGAGUAACUGCUCGUACCUUGACGGUACCUAACCAGAAAGCCACGGCUAACUACGUGCCAGCAGCCGCAGUAAGAC
rnacentral:rRNA from 1 species